rnacentral:lncRNA from 1 species
AUCAGGGUGGGCACCAUCUCAUCAGCUGCCAGUGCAGCUAGAAUAUAAGCAGGCAGAAAAAUGUGAAAAAGAGAGACUGGCCUAGCCUCCCAGCCUACAUAUUCCUUCCAUGCUGGAUGCUUCCUGCCCUCUAACAUCGAACACCAAGUUCUUCAGUUUUGGAACUCAGACUGGCUUUCUUGCUCCUCAGCCUGCAGACUGCCUAUUGUGGGAUUGAUAUGGUUUGGCCGUGUCUCGACCCAAAUCUCAACUUGAAUUAUAUCUCCCUGAAUUCCCGCGUGCUGUGGGAGGGAUCCUGGGGCAGAGAACCCUGACUAAUACAAAUGUGGAAGGACUAGACUGGCUUAGUCUUCAGGCCUACAUCUUUCUCCCGUGCUGGAUAAUUCCCACCCUUGAACAUCAUACUCCAAGUUCUUCAGCUCUGGGACUCAGACCUGCAACCACCGACUGUAGGCUGCACUGUCAGCUUCCCUACUUUUGAGGUUUUGGGACUCAGACUGGCUUCCUUGCUCCUCAGCUUGCAGCUGGCCUUUUGUGGGACUUCACCUUGUGUCGUCUCUUGAAGUUAGAGGUGACGAAAAAACUGAAGACCACAAGCCACAUCAACGACUUGGGUGAAUGAGCUACCACAGACCACUGUCCACACAUUCAGAAUAUCUUGCAAGAUUCCAUUCCUGUCUCCACCUUUCACUGGACUCCUUCUUCCUGGAACUACAUUCUUACCUAAAGUAUCCACCUAGAAGCUUUUCCUGCCACUGUUAAGGGAAGCUUAGUAUUUAAGCAUCACUACUGUGUCACACAGAGUAGUAGGUUUGAAGUAUAAGAAAACAUUCCUGGUUUCAAAGAUCUUGCAAUCAAAUAAGAAAGAUGGACAAAUAAAUGAAGGGUGAUGGUGUAGUGCCAUGGCACCUGGAGGAAGAAACUGCCAUAAGAUGCUGGUAUGAAAACUUCAGGAUGCUUGGAUGGAUUCUCACCUUAUCCCAUGUCCCAUGAGAAGCAGAUGUCAAGACAAGAGUAAACAUGCAGGGGUUUUAUUCUGUAAAAUGCCAGUGUAAGAGAAAAUAAAGAGACAGCCAUUUGCCUCUUCUUCUCUCUCUUUUAUUUUAUGUAAAUGGAUUUGUCCAAUGGGUGUUUCAGGAAGUCAGGGACCCCAAACGGAGGAACCGGCUGAAGCCAUGACAGAAGACCAUGGAUUAUGAAGAUUUUAUGGACAUUUAUUAGUUCCCCAAAUUAAUACUUUGGUAAUUUCUUAUGCCUGUCUUUACUGCAAUCUCUAAACAUAAAUUGUAAAGAUUUCAUGGACACUUAUCACUUCCCCAAUCAAUACCCUUGUGAUUUCCUAUGCCUGUCUUUACUUUAAUCUCUUAAUCCUGUCAGCCGAGAAGGAUGUAUAUUGUCUCAGGACCCUGUAAUAAUUGCGUUAACUACACAAAUUGUACAGCAUGUGUGUUUGAGCAAUAUGAAAUGUGGGCACCCUGAAAAAAGAACAGGAUAACAGCAAUUGCUCAGGGAAUAAGAGAGAUAACCUUAAACUCUGACCGCUGGUGAGCUGGGCAGAACAGAGCCAUAUUUCUCUUCUUUCAAAAGCAAAUGGGAGAAAUAUCGCUGAAUUCUUUUUCUCAGCAUGGAACGUCCCUGAGAAAGAGAAUGCGCACCUGGGGGUAUCGGCUUAUAAACAGCCCCCCUGGGCGUGGCCUGUCUCUUAUGGUCGAAACUGCAGAAGUGAAAUAUACUCCAGUCUCCCAUAGUGCUCCCAGGCUUAUUAGGAAGAGGAAAUUCCUGCCUAAUAAAUUUUGGUCAGACUGGUCGAUCUCAAAACCCUGUCUCCUGAUAAGAUGUUAUCAAUGGCAAUGGUGCCCGAAACUUCAUUAGCAAUUUUAAGUUUGCCUUGGUCCUGUGGUCCUGUGAUCUCGCCCUGCCUCCACUUGCCUCGUGAUAUUCUAUUACUCUGUUAAGUACUUGAUGUCUGUCACCCACACCUAUUCGCGCACUCCCUCCCCUUUUGAAAAUCCCUAAUAAAAACUUGCUGGUUUUUGUGGCUUGUGGGGCAUCACGGAUCCUACCAACAUGUGAUGUCUCCCCCGGAUGCCCAGCUUUAAAAUUUCUCUCUUUUGUACUCUGUCCCUUUAUUUCUCAAGCCAGCCAACGCUUAGGAAAAUAGAAAAGAACCUACGUGAUUAUCGGGGCAGGUCCCCCGAUAAAUGGGUGCCUAUAUUGACUGUAUUUUUCAGUUGCUGUGAUGUUUUCAAGGUGUAUCCAUGAUGUAGCAUGCAUCAGUGUGUCUUUCCUUUUUAUAGCCAAAUAAAAUUUCACUGUA